rnacentral:lncRNA from 10 species
CCCAUAUAAGGCCAAAUAUGGGUGUUUCCCCGCCCCUCGGGCCGUGGCCACGCCCUGCAGGGGGCGGGGCAGCGGGGGCGAGGGACGCGCGGGGCGGGUGCCGGCGUUAGAGCGAGAGGAAGUGGAAGGCGCCUCUUCGUUCUCUCUUCCGCGCUUCGCUGAGGGACUCACUCGCGCAUCACCCGCGGCUGCCGGUCGAGUGUCCCAGGCGCUCCGGGGCCGCGGUGACCCUCGCGGUGCGGACCGAGGAGGAAGCGCCGUGGGGGGCGGGGCGGCGCCGCACGAUCCGGCCUUCAGCUUCACGGACGUGGGCUGAGAACCCGCCCGCGCCGCGCUGAGCAGGGCCGAGGGAGCCGGCCAGGGCCCCAGAGGAGUCCGGAACGGAUUCCCGUCGCUACCGAGGUCUGCGCGUGUAAGGAGAGGACGUCGGAGAUUUGCCUCGAGGGGUGGGGUAUAGAUGACUGGAGAGGUCAGGCGCGGGUUGGUCAUCGCUGAGGCUGGGUGAUGGGUGGCCGGAUUCGUUAUACUGUUUUCUCCACUUUUCUGUAUGUUUGAUAUUUUUCAUAAUAAAGUUUGUAAAAGUAAAAACGGGGGUUGGGGGUCGGCGGUGAGAAUAGCCAUUUAAUCUUCCUAAAUGGAUUCUGCCCUCAAAGGAUUGACGCUCUUUUCUCUGUCACUCUCCAAUAAUGAUUAGAAUAAUAAGUUGUAUUUUGAGGAGCUGUUUUCUGGUCCCGGGGAGACCCUUGGUGAACUCAGCAGUACCAUCAGCAUGUAUCCCACGAUGGAGCUCAGUUCAGCCAACUGUUGUCCAGGUGGCUUCUGGAUUUGGGGGAUUAUCUAUGGAUCAAGUUUAAUCUCAGGCUGUCUGCCCCCACCGGUCCCCAGGGGCUUCAGGCCUCCCACCCCUAUUCCUGGGGAAGCAGACACAAUUCACCCAUUCAGCAAGCAUUUAUUGAGGGUCAGCCGUGUGCCAGGGCUUUGCUAGCUGCGGGGACACAUGGAUGGAAACAGGUUUCUGCCCCCAAGCUCACUGCCAACCAUUUUAUUGUUAGCCUGGCUGGGACUGCUUGAUGGAAAACAGUCUGCCCGCACUAGACAAGGGCUUGUUGACAACUGACAUAAGGGAAUGAGGUUUUCAGAAGGAAGCAGAGAUCAAAUUUUGAAAUCAGAUGCAAUCAAAUCAGACACCAGGACAGCCAGCAUUGCCUCUGGGUCACAGAUGCAUCCACCCAAAGGCGCUGUCCUCGCCUUGCCAGUGGGGUCUUGGUGAAGACGUGAUGCGGGGGCCUUCUUUCUUUUUGUGGUUAUCUGUGCCAGCCUUCCCUGCAGGCUGCUCUUCCUCUAGCACGUUCUGUUUCUGUUACCGGCUCUUUCCACCCCCGGCAUCUCCGCCUAGAGCCACACACAUACGCGGAGCACCCACGUGGGCCAGGCUUUGUUUUGGGGCUGGCGGCACCAACGUGAGUAAGACUUAUACUCAGCCCCAGCUGCCCCCAGCCCAGAGGGAAGGGGAAGGCCUGUAGUCCGUGGGGAAGAGCGCCCAGUAGGGGUGUGGCAGGGUGGGGCGUGGGCUGGAGAAGGCCUCCCGAGGAGAGGAGAGCUGAGGCCAACUCCGAGGAAUGAAUUGUAAGCCAGGCUGCGAAGCAGGAGGGGAGAUUCCAGGCAGAGGAAACUGCUUGGGGUAAAGAAAACAAAAAACGCAACCCCCCCAGCAUGGUGCGUACUGGAGAUGAGAAAAUGGAGGUACCAAAAAGUGGGCUCUGAACUGCAGAGCCUGGCUCCAGAGCCCUUGUAUUUGACUACUGGGAUCCACCGUUAUUCUCACAGCCGCGUUUCCCACAGGGCUGCUUUGUAUGGCCUCUUAGAAAAGUCCUGCCUGUCUCCACCAUCCAGACUAUGAUGUCCGUGAGGUCAGAGGAAAGGGAGAAUGUCUCACAUACAGAAAAUGCUUGAUCAACAUUGAUGGAAUCAUAAAUGGGCCUCAGCGGCACCUGUCCUGAGUCAGCAUCUCACAGAGGUUUUGCCAGCGCCAGCCACAUCUCCAGCAUGAAGGUGAUUGUCUGAGUGUGUCCAGUCCAGUUCCUGCCUUAAUAAAAAUCACUGCUGCAAGGGAGAGGGCUGCCAAGGCCCUGCCUCCCUCCAACCCCAUCCUAGCCUGAGUCUUAACCAUUCUUCCAAUCCAGUUCCACUUUGGGCCAGUGCUUAACCCAGGGUAGCACUUUUGAGCCUCGCAACUCUUGGGAGUGAGUUUUCAUCCUAACGUUCUCAGAUGAGGAAAUUGGGCCUCAAAGAGUCCACACAGGUGAGGCACCAUGGCUCAUGCCUAUAAUCCUAACACUUUGGGAGGCCAAGGCAGGAGGAAUGCUUGAGCCCAGGAGUUCAAGACCAGCCUGGGCAACAUGGUGACACCCUGUCUCUAUAAAAAAAUACAACAAUUAGGCAAACGUGGUGGCAUGCACCUGUCAUCCCAGCUACCUGGGAGGCUGAGGUGGGAGGAUUGCUUGAGCCCAGGAGGCUGAGGCUGCAGUGAGCCAUGAUCCUGCCAGUACACUCCAGCCUGGGUGACAGAACAAGACCCUGUCUCAAAAACAAAACAAAACAAAAACAAAAACAAAGCAUCCACACAACUAGCAGGUGAAAAACUGGGGUUCAAACUCAGGCCUAUAACACUAAGGGCUGGGCCUGUCCCCACCAAAUCAGUCUUUCCUCAGACAGGCUGAGGUGUCCUCUAUAGACCAAAUAUCUGGAGGUCAGAACACUGAGACACUAGUUAUGUAAAGGCAGGGUGUGAGUUGGUGAGCUCAUCGAGAAAAUGCUUCCUGGGCUGGGUGCAGUGGCUCACACCUGUAAUCCCAGCACUUUGGGAGGCUGAGGUGGACAGAUCACCUCAAGUCAGGAGUUCAAGACCAGCCUGGCCAACAUGCUGAAACUCUGUCUCUACUAAAAAAUACAAAAAUUUGCCAAGCGCAGUGGCACAUGCCUGUAAUACUAGCUCCUCGGGAGGCUGAGGCAGGAGAACCGCUUGAACCCAGGAGGCAGAGGUUGCAGUGAGCCAAGAUUGCACCACUGAACUCUAGCCUGGGUGACAGAGCAAAACUCUGUCUCAAAAAAAAAAAAAGAAAAGAGAAAAAAGAAAGAGAGAGAAAGAAAGAGAGAGAGAAAGAGAAAGAAA